GUCUUAGUAGUGGCAGUAUCAUAGCCAAUGAAGUUAAUCUGAGGUGUGAUUAUUGCUAGUUGAAAACUUUUCUUUCCCUCCCAGAACAAACACUGAGGUAUUCUGAUUGCACUCCUUUUAUUGGGUUGUGCUUUGAAUCUUAGAGUCACAGAUAUGU
rnacentral:snRNA from 1 species